AUCAAAAUGAAAAUUGAAGUGUGUGUUAUUUGCACAACCAAUUUCAGCCACACCCGGUACAAGUAUCCUAAUGCUGACUCAGUUUGUGAUGGUACAGUCGUGUUGUCGUAGAGGUGAGUGUGUCAGAACCUUUCCAGAUGAUGUACCAAGACGUGCCUUUGUCCCCUUGACUGAACACUACAGCGUAAAAAGAGGAGACAGUUAACACCAAGGAUCAUGGUGAGCAGAGCAUCAGGACCGAGCUGACACAGCAGCGACAGACUCUCCUGCAGCUCGUCCUCUGAGUCCUUCUCAUCCUUUAUAUGGCCACACUCUGAGUCCUGGAAACGGUAGAACUGGGUGUCCUUGUCGAGGAAGUUCAACUCGUGUUUCACUUGAUUGAGGCGAAACAAAGAACAGAGGAGAAACACAUGAAUUAAACCCAAAUGUUUCUAUGAGUGUGGACCUCUAGAGAUACUAUGGUGAUUGCAUUAAAAUGGAACAGACUGACUGAUUACUAAAAAAAGAGAUUUUGAUCUUCAGGAGAAUUUAGCCGUCUUGUGGUUACUUCACAAAACACAGAUCCAUGGAAAUAAGAGCUAAUGCAUUCAGAGUGCUCCCCUUCGUUGAUGUUGAAGCUUUUAUAUCCUGAUUGAAGUGGACUCUCCCGUGGAGACAGUGCCUUGUCCGAACAGAACAAGCAGUGAGUUAGUGACCACUUGACUGAGUGAGAACACAUUGUAAAACAUCUGCUCUGGCAGGCUCAGACACCAGAUUUCAAGCUUCUUAAGUACUUCUGGGAAACUCUCAACACAGUAUCAUCAGAAUAUAUUAAAAAAUACCAGAAUGUGACAGGAUUUGUUGUAGGAUUGUUCUACAUACUUCUACUGUCGUGCCAAGGCGUGAGCUCACCUGACACAUAACAAUGUUAACACUGACUUAAUUUUGCAGCCAGCAAAGCUCGGUAAGUUCAACUGUCUGGUGUGGAUAAUUUCUCAUCCCCUUUGAAUGAAUGUUCAACAAAAUGUCCCAAACUGUAACUUCACCUCUUAGUCAUCAUCGUGUUAGGCUUCUGAUGACUCAGGAAUGUUGCCAGGGUAGAAUAAACACAGCUUUUUGAUGACA